AGGCCAGCCCCUCCACCCCACCAGACACUGUGCUGUGCACGGGCUCAGCAGCCCCCAGUCAGCAAGAGGACGAUGGGGAGCAGUCCAGCCAGUUUCCUCAAUUCGAGGCGUGAACACCUGCUGUGAGCUGACAAGGCCACUGAGAAAGCCCCAGCGCCUGGAGCUGGUCUGCUGGUUCCCACAGCCAAACUAGUGAAACUUACCUCAAGUGGGAGGGUGCUUGAAGCUCACAGUGACUCACAAAGCCAGUUUCAAAAUCGCAUCUCUUUCUCUGCUUCAGCCCAAGAAAUGUUCCAAUUCUCUGAAUCCUACUGGAAAUAUGGAGACACCCAUAUGGGGGCCAAACAGCCAGCAUCCCAGGCUGUUCCAUUCCAACAGACGUUGUGGAGAUGGAGUAAAGAGGGGCUGGAGAAGGAGUGGGCUGAGAAGCAGGGGCCAGCCCUCAACCCCGGGGAAUUUCCUCAAUGGGUCCCCAAGACCACCCAUUUCUGAGACAAAUUGUAAGUUUGAGUUGAUCUGGCCAUGUCCUUAACCUUGAGAAGUGGUGCACAAGACAUAAUAUAACAAAGAAGGGUAAACUUCCUCACAUGACAGGUGGAAAACAAGAUCCAACUGUUGGAAGCCACUGAUGAAUAUGAAUUAGGAAUCAGCCUCUCCAGUCCUGACCACAGCACCAGCUCCAUCCUUCCCACCAGGCGUGUGGAUGACCUACCAUCCUCUGGAAACUGGACUCGAAGCAGCUGUAACACUUAGUGUGUGUCUGUCUUGUGGUCCUUGACAAACUAUAUCACACAAUUAUCUGCUUAUGUGGAGGCUGGGCACUGUGACUCACGCCUGUAAUCCCAGAACUUUGGGAAGUCAAGGCAGGCAGAUCACUUGAGGCCAGGAGUUCAAUACCAGCCUGACAAACAUGGUGAAACCCCAUCUCUACUAAAAAUACAAAAAUUAGCUGGGUGUGGUGGUGCAUACCUGUAAUCCCAGCUACUCAGGCUGAGGCAGGAGAUUUGCUUAAAUCUGGGAGGCGGAGGUUGCAGUGAGCCGAGAUCGUGCCACUGCACUCCAGCCUAGGAGACAGAAACAAGGUCUGGAGCAGUGGCUUACACCUGUAAUCCCAGCACUUUGGGAGCCCGUGGCAGGCAGAUCACCUGAGGUCAGGAGUUUGAGACGAGCCUGGAUAACAUGGUGAAACCCCAAUUCUAUUAAAAAUACCAGGCGAAGUGGCAUGCGCCUGUAAUCCCAGCUACUUGGGAAGCUGAGGCAGGAGAAUCACUUGAACUUGGGAGGUGGAGGUUGCAGUGAGCUGAGAUAGCACCACUGCACUCCAGCUUGGGCAACAACAGUGAAACUCCAUUAAAGAAAAAAAACUGAGAUCGAUCCAAGAUGGCCGACCACUAACAGCUCAGGAUUGUAGCUCCCAGUGAAAGCUCAGAGAACGAGACGACGCCACAUCUUUAGACGAAUUUUCGUCACUCACCGAUUAGCCGAUUCCCAGUGGAGGAGCCCCACGGGUCGCCAGCGCGACUCUUGUGGCCGCCGCAGCGGUUUUGCCGGCGUCUGGGCACAGCAGCUCUUCAUGCAGAGCCAACGGGACCGCUUCCCCUACUGACCGGAGUUUGGAGCUCCGGGAAGUCAGAGCCGCUUGUUGCGGACUCAAGAGGGAAGCCAGACCAGAGAUUCCCGGGCAGAAGAGCACCAUCAGUCUUAUCACUGCUAUUUAGGCUGCCACAGUGGGUUGCUCGGAUCCCAGCACUGGGAAUCAAUAAGUCAGACGUCGACUCAGAAACCUAAUUAGAAAGGCGGUUCAUCUACAAUGAAGGGAAAAAAACAGCCUAAGAAGGCCAAGUAUACUCAAAAUCAGAACCCA
ensembl:lncRNA